CAGACUCCCACAUGCCCUUUGGAACUGGCCAGGACAAUCUACCACACAUAAACCAAAGAAUUGACCAACCCAUCCUGGCAAUCCUAAUAAUGAAACUCAAAGGUACAAGAGAGGCCAUCACUAGAUGCACCAGGCACUGCUCCUUCCAAGGAAGGGAAUGGAGGGAAAGCCUUGCAAAGAAGAGAACUUAUUUGUGUCCACUCACACACUAUCCCAGUUCCAAAUUACCUAGCAUGCAGAAUCCCAGGUGUCAAGAGUACAGCUGGUUCUGGGAUCCCAGGAGCUAAUUCCUUGGCUGAACUUAAGAAUAAGGCACAUGGCUCUCAGGAACUGGUGGCAUCGAAUUCCUCCUCACCCAGAAGAAGGAAGAACCAGCCAGGCUUUGAAACUGAGUCCAUCACAUUCUCCCUUUGUGUCCAUGAGCCCCCCCCCCCACUUGCUGUUCUCAUGUAUUCCAUCGCCCUGGGGCUACCACAAACCCUGUCCUCACCGGCUGCCUGAAGGACAGCUGUCUUCACUGCAGUGGACACCAUCAAUUACCUCCAAUGCCGAGAGCCAUGGAACCAUGGGGAAGGUGGCAUGAGGAGGCCCAUGCUGUCCUGGCCAUGCUGUACUUUCAACAUUCAGAACGGUUUCAAAUCUGCAAGUAAUCAAGAAAAGGAAAAGCCAAAUAUGUCUCUCUCCAGUAAGAUAAAAUCCCUCCCUGUGACAGGCUUGUCAAUCUGCUCACAGAAGUUCUGGCACCCUCUAAUUGGCAGAACUCCCAAGGGGCCAGCUGCUCCUCACCAAAGCCACAAGGUGUGGAAGAAGAAAGGAAAAAGGAAAUAAGAAAAUAGGCAGAGGACAUUCAAGGACAAUCAGAAAGUCCCUAAAGUCCUAAAUCUACUGCUGCUAGGUAUUUUGUGACCCCAGGCAAGUCACUUCAGCUCUCUGAGCCUCCCUUUCUUCAUCAGUAAAAUAGGAAAAUACACGCAGGGGUUCGGGAGAUUAACUACAUAAUACUGUUUGCAAU